GCUCUUUAGUUCUCAUUUCAUCAGAUUUGAACACCGGUCUGGGUGAUCAUAAAGGAGGAAAAGUAACAUUGAAACUGACCUCAAUGCUGACAGGACAUCGCUAGUUUCAGACAGAUUCAAACAAGU
rnacentral:snoRNA from 1 species